rnacentral:rRNA from 1 species
CCCUUAGAUGUUCUGGGCUGCAUGCGCGCGACAAUGACGUUUGCAACGAGAUACGAGACCGAAAGGUUAAGUUGAUCUAGCAAGCUGCGUCGUGAUAGGGACUGUCGAUUGCAAUUAUUCGACACGAACGAGGAAUUCCUUGUAAUCGCACAUCAUCAGUGUGCGCUGAAUACGUCCCUGCCCUUUGUACACACCGCCCGUCGCUCCUACCGAUCGAGUGAUCCGGUGAAUGUUUUGGAUCGGUUGCAAGUUGCGCGACGCGCUUCUUGCAUGCUGUGAAAUCAUGUAAGCCUUAUUGCUUAGAGGAAGGAGAAGUCGUAACA